rnacentral:lncRNA from 1 species
GUCUUUUCUUUCCAGAAACCCGAUCGAGUUUUCUUAUUUUUUGUUUAACAGUUUUUACUUUCUUUUUAAAUCUGCGAGCCAUUCUUAAUAUUGACGAUUGCCAAUCUGAUAGUUAUAAAUGCGAUCACAAUUAUAACUUUUACGCCUAAAACAAACCACAAUGGGAAAACCAGCUGUCUGCAAUCACAGACAAAUGGAAACUGAAUGCACACAUUUUAUCGUACAUCUACUUAAUGAUAAAUCAUGAUGUUGACCUCAGCUGACCCAAUAUGUCAGUAGUUGGAAAGUAAACAUAUGUUUUCAAAUAUAUUGAUACCUUAAUUAACAUGCAUAACUCUACUUAUCUGUAAUGAGGAGUGGUAGAAGUGCUACUAAAAAACAUUAAAAUCCAAUUAAGAUGACAGAUUAACACUUGUUUUAUUAAACAAGAAAUAGAAAAAUCCAAUGACAA